CCUACGGGUGGCAGCAGUAGGGAAUAUUCGACAAUGGGCGAAAGUCUGAUGCAGCAACGCCGCGUGAGUGAUGACGGUCUUCGGAUUGUAAAGCUCUGUCUUCAGGGAAGAAAGAGACGGAGCGUGCAGAGUACGCACCGGCUAACUACGUGCCAAGAGCCGGGGUGAUAAGUACGUGGCGGGCGGUUGCCGGAUUUAUUGGGCGUAAAGGGGGGGGAGGCGGAUUUUUAAGUGAGAUGGUAAAUGCUCGGGGUGAAAUUGAGGGCUGCAUUUGAAACUGGAAGUCUAGAGUGCAGGAGAGGAGAAUGGAAUUCCUAGUGUAGCGGUGAAAUGCGUAGAGAUUAGGAAGAACACCAGUGGCGAAGGCGGUUCUCUGGACUGUAACUGACGCUGAGGCUCGAAAGCGUGGGGAGCAAACAGGAUUAGAUACCCCUGUAGUC
rnacentral:rRNA from 1 species